rnacentral:rRNA from 1 species
CCUACGGGUGGCAGCAGUGGGGAAUCUUCCACAAUGGGGGAAACCCUGAUGCAGCGACGCCGCGUGAGUGAAGAAGUAUUUCGGUAUGUAAAGCUCUAUCAUCAGGGAAGAAGAAAGACGGUACCUGACUAAUCAGCCCCGGCUAACUACGUGCCAGCAGCCGCGGUAAUACUGAGGGGGCGCGCAUGAUCCGGAUUUACUGUGUGGAAAGGGAGCGUAGACGGCUGUGCAAGUCUGAAGUGAAAGCCCAGGGCUCAAACCUGGGACUGCUUUGGAAACUGUGGAGCUAGAGUGCUGGAGAGGUAAGUGGAAUUCCUAGUGUAGCGGUGAAAUGCGUAGAUAUUAGGAGGAACACCAGUGGCGAAGGCGGCUUACUGGACAGUAACUGACGUUGAGGCUCGAAAGCGUGGGGAGCAAACAGGAUUAGAUACCCCUGUAGUC